AGUCGAGAAUCAUUCGCAAUGGGCGAAAGCCUGACGAUGCGACGCCGUGUGAACGAAGAAGGCCUUCGGGUUGUAAAGUUCUUUCGCCUGGGAACAAGAGAGGCUAGCUAAUAACUAGCCGAUUUGAGGGUACUAGGUAAAGAAGCACCGGCUAACUCCGUGCCAGCAGCUGCGGUAAUACGGAGGGUGCAAGCGUUAAUCGGAUUUAUUGGGCGUAAAGAGCGCGUAGGCGGAAGUGUCAGUCAGACGUGAAAGACCGGGGCUCAACCCCGGACCCGCGUUUGAAACUUCAUUUCUCGAGGAUAGACGGGGAGAGCGGAAUUCCAUGUGUAGCGGUGAAAUGCGUAGAUAUGUGGAGGAACACCAGUGGCGAAGGCGGCUCUCUAGUUUAUUCCUGACGCUGAGGCGCGAAAGCAGGGGGAGCAAACAGGAUUAGAUACCCUGGUAGUCCCUGCCGUAAACGAUGUGUACUAGAUGUGGUUGGAUUCAACCCCGACCUUGUCGUAGCUAACGUGAUAAGUACACCGCCUGGGGAGUACGCUCGCAAGGGUGAAACUCAAAAGAAUUGACGGGGGCUCGCACAAGCAGUGGAGCAUGUGGUUUAAUUCGAUGCUACGCGAAGAACCUUACCCAGACUUGACAUGUAGUGGACAACCUCAGAGAUGAGGCUUCCCUUCGGGGCCGCUACACAGGUGCUGCAUGGUUGUCGUCAGCUCGUGCCGUGAGGUGUUGGGUUAAGUCCCGCAACGAGCGCAACCCUUAUCAUCAGUUGCCAACAGGUAAUGCUGGGGACUCUGGUGAGACUGCCUAGGUUAACUAGGAGGAAGGUGAGGAUGACGUCAAAUCAGCAUGGCCCUUAUGUCUGGGGCUACACACGUGCUACAAUGGCCGGUACAGAGGGCAGCUAAGCCGCGAGGUGGAGCAAAUCCCUUAAAACCGGUCUCAGUUCGGAUUGUAGUCUGCAACUCGACUACAUGAAGCCGGAAUUGCUAGUAAUGGCGUGUCAGCAAUAACGCCGUGAAUACGUUCUCGGGCCUUGUACACACUGCCCGUCACAUCAUGGAAGUCGGUUUCACCCGAAGUCACUGACCCAACCGCAAGGGGGGAGGUGCCGAAGGUGAGGCUGAUGACUAGGAUG
rnacentral:rRNA from 1 species